rfam:Lactobacillus sanfranciscensis TMW 1.1304, complete genome.
UCACAGCUACAACCGCACAUUCUGAGUAUUAAGUCCGUUUUCGGCGCUCAGCUAUGGCGAGUCUAAGCAUAUUA